UUGCUGCUGAAGCUGCUGCUAGUUCUGAUUUUGUUAUCUUGGUACAAAUGGUUGUAAUUGCUUUUAAUUCCUAUCCAAUUUGAAUCUUCCAUUUUGUUGCAACCAUGGCCACUGCCGUUCUAGUUGCGUGAGAGUCGUAGCCGCUGCAGAAUAAGGUGAAAAGAGGGUUUAUCGCAUUAAAAUCGCUGCGGGUUUGAUUCUUUGAGCUUUACCUUUUCAGGAACUGUAUGAAGAAGCAUUAAGAAGAGUUAUACUGCGU